AUGUAUGAGCAUAUGGGUUUGCUCUGCUGCCAUGCGAUCCGGGUAAUGGCACACUUGAAAUUCACGAAGAUACCAGAAGAGCACAUCAUGAGGAGGUGGACUAAAAACGCAUGUGAAGAUUUACCUGAGCACUUGAAAAUAUAUAAGGGACGCAGCCCUAUCCUGGAAUCAACUACCUUCAGGCAUACAACACUUUACACAACAGCUCUUGAUAUUGUAAGGAUGGGUGACAGCAACCCUGAGGCCUUCGACCUUGCAAUGGUAAGGCUGUCAGAUGCAAGGGAUGAUCUCAAAGAAAAAGCAACUGAGAAAGAUGGCAAAGGACUAGAGGAUAUACUAGGUAAAGAAAACAUUGAUAUCAACGGGGUUGAUGCAGGCGACACUAAUCUCAAAUCAUCAAUGAGGAUAGAAUCUCGCAAGAGAGAUCGUGGGCGACCUACCAACGCAAGAUCUAGGCCAGGCUAUGAAGUGAGCAAUCCAAGAACCAAGUUUUGUAAAACUUGCAGGGGAAAGGGACACAGCUCUGGGAAGUGCCCAACAAAUGACGGAUCAAACAAGAAGCAGAGGAAAGAACCAAAGUGCGGGAAGUGUGGCGUACUUGGACACAUCAGGACACAAUGCAACAGAACAUUUGAAUCGUGGUUUAGAUGA
rnacentral:rRNA from 1 species